GAUGAAGAACGUAGCGAAAUGCGAUAAGUAAUGUGAAUUGCAGAAUUCAGUGAAUCAUCGAAUCUUUGAACGCACCUUGCACCCUUUGGCAUUCCGAAGGGUAUGCUCGUUUGAGUGUCAUUGUACUCUCACACUCCCGAUCUUUGGAUCGGGAGUGGUGGACUUGGGUGUUGCUGCUUUACCGUGGCUCACCUCAAAUGGAUUCGUGCAACUCCUGGUUGGACAUAGUACGGCGUGAUAAGUGUCUUCGCCGGCACCUCACUAGAGGGUGGCUGACCGGGAGCUCUGUGCUUCAAACCGUCUUCGGACAACAACUGACAACUUGACCUCAAAUCGAGUAGGACCACCCGCUGAACUUAAGCAUAUCAAUAAGCGGAGGA
rnacentral:misc_RNA from 1 species